GAUGAACGCUGGCGGCGUGCCUAAUACAUGCAAGUCGAGCGAACAGACGAGGAGCUUGCUCCUCUGACGUUAGCGGCGGACGGGUGAGUAACACGUGGAUAACCUACCUAUAAGACUGGGAUAACUUCGGGAAACCGGAGCUAAUACCGGAUAAUAUAUUGAACCGCAUGGUUGAAUAGUGAAAGACGGUUUUGCUGUCACUUAUCGAUGGAUCCGCGCCGCAUUAGCUAGUUGGUACGGUAACGGCUUACCAAGGCAACGAUGCGUAGCCGACGUGAGAGGGGGAUAGGCCACACGGGAAGGGAGACACCGACAAGAGGCCUAAGAGAGGCAGCAGUAGGGAAUCUUACGCAGUGGGCGAAAGUCUGACGGAGCAACGCCGCGUGAGAGAUGAAGGUCUUCGGAGCGUAAAACUCGGUUAUUAGGGAAGAACAAAUGUGUAAGGAACUAUGCACGGCUUGACGGUACCUGGUCAGAAAGCAACGGCUAACUACGUG
rnacentral:rRNA from 1 species